AGGGGGAGGCCGGAUCUUGGGCUGUGUCCCAGCACCCUGUGCUCCGGAGCCUGCACUGUUGGAUUCGCACUCCCGGCAGCACAGCCGCCU
rnacentral:pre_miRNA from 1 species